AUAAAUCACGUCAGUCCAUUCACUCUUUCUGAUUGGCUGCUCUCCUGCAGGGCUGUUCUGAUUGGCCGGUGAGAUCACAGACAACUCAGUGAACAGCAGAUGGUGCAGGAUCAAGCUAAUUAUCCCAGAGACUGUUUAUCUGAGCAUGUAUUCAAAUGAAUGGGAGGAACUGGAACACGCAAUGUAGUGGAUGUAGAAAAGAAAGUCACGCCUUACAGAUCGCUGAAAAUAGCUGCCCGGGAGCAUUCACAAGAUCCGCAGAGUGGACUGACUCACCUUAAAAGAGACUUUGAUUGUCUGCGAUCAGUGAACACUAACGAGACGACUUAUGACAUGAAGUUUUCAUCCCAAUAAUACAACCUUUAACACCUGGCAGGUGUGUCACAUGUCCUCUCUGACCCACUUCUUGCAGACGUACUCCAGACGAGUGCAGGUCUGUGUCAUAGCUGUUGAAGUCAUGUGAUCAGAAGGUGGUGUGACCUGCAGACGUGAUGUUUGUUCCUCAAGACACACAAACAAACAGGAUGUGCUUGAGAUGGCGUGCGUGAGACCCGUGAUGAAGAGGAUGAUGGACUAAGAGGAUUGACUCACGUGAAGCACCAUGACCUGCUGACCUACAAACACUAACCUCUCUUCAACAGACUCAUUAUGAGCUAUAAGAAGAGGUCAGCGGGGCUAGUUGUCACAUGUUAUCUUUCAGUGAAUAUUUCUCAGGGUAAAGUCAGUUUCUGUUUAGAUGCAUUCAUGAUAGUCUUAGCUAUGAAACAAUAAUGAACCUUUUCCACCAUUAUUGCCCUGGAAAAAGAUACAGUUCAUUGAAGACGUGUUGUACUUGAAAUGUAUUUAACGGCUUUUCAGUUAUUAAAACAGCAAAAUAUUUCUAGUAACAAACAAAAGAUAUUAAACCAUUGUUUUGACCAACAGAAAUAGCAUAUGUUUGCAAACAACUUACAAAACCAUUGCAAGAGAAAUCAAGCAUGUAUUAGUUGCUAAGAUGCCCCUGUGACAACUUCCCCAUAUGACAACAAGCCCCAGUGACCCUAUAUAAAAUUAAA